AAUUGUAACUUGGCGUUGAUCUUC
rnacentral:siRNA from 1 species